AAAAAAGAGACAUUUUAAUUGGAUAAUAAAGUCAUACGAGGGACGAGUAAGGCCCCAAAGCAAUACAUUCUUGGCCAGUCAUGGACUGUUCAAGACACUGACUCAGAGCUCUGGGCCAAACCUCUGUCUUGAAUAUAUUUUAAUUAAGAUAUAAUGAAAUAUGUUUAAUUAAAAUGAAAAUGAAAAUUUGAACAUUUUUUAAAAAUUUAUUUUUAAAAACAUUUUUGUCUUUUUUUAGGGCCGCACCUAUGGCAUAUGGAGGUUCCCAGGUGCAGCCCUAAAAAGAAAAAAAAGGAAAAAAAAAAGAAAAAGAGGGGUCUUGCAGAGACCACUGAUGAUGUGCCUUGAAUGGAAGAGGUUUCAUGAUAGAACUCAGAAGAAAAAGACACUGGGGUUCCCAUCGUGGCUCAGCGAGUUAAGAACCUGACCAGUAUCUGUGAGGAUAUGGGCUUGAUCCCUGGCCUCUCUUAGUGGGUUAGGGAUCUAGCAUCGACAUAGCUGCAGUGUAGGUCACAGAUGUGGCUCUGAUCUGGCGUUGCUGUGGCCGUGGCGUAGGCCAGCAGCUGAAGCUCUGAUUCGACUCCUAGCCUGGGCACUUCCAUAUGCUGCAGGUGCAGCCCUAAGAAGAAAAAAAAAGUCCAGCAUCCACUGAGAAUGUGUUUCCAUACAAAGUCUGCGCACACCUGAAGGACGAAGAGGGAGCACGCAGGCGUGGGAAGGAGAGCUGCAGUGCGGUAGAUGACAGCCUCAGGGCUCCGAAUACUCUUCACAAUUCUUCUUAACCUCCUUAGUAGCCCCUGGCCACCCUCGACUCUAUCGAUCCAGCCCUCAGGCGUCUAUGCAGACUGGGGCGUCCACUGCGCACUUCUCUGCCCUCUGUCUGGCGAAUUCCCACACUUCGUUACAACUCAGCUUAAACACUGCCCCCCCACCUCACCCCCCGGCAGGAGGCAUCCCCCUGCCUCCCAGAGCUGAUUCACUGCCUCUUCUUAUCUUUCCCAGACAACCAGUGAUGGCUCGAGCUGAGCUGCUUCCACACUAGUCUCUUCUUAGAAGCACAGCCUUUCAGGGAGUGGAGAGAAACACUGGGGCCGUGCCAGCCAAGGGAGGAAAGUCUGGCCUGGGAGAGGGGAGAGCUGGGGUGGACUGGACAGUGAAGGGGGUGAGGCCCCUGGGUGAUUUUUGCCUUGGCUUUCCCUUUCAAUUCCCUAGCCCAGCCCUGCCAAGCCAACCAAUUCUGUCAAAUCUUAUUUCUCAGGUGCCUGUGAUCCCAAGACACCGUGGUGCGGGAUUGCAACGCCACGGCCAUUCUUUGAGUGUUGGACCCAGGCAGGGAGGGAAGGCUUGGACGUGAGCAAUGUCAGAUAACAGUGGCAGAAUAGAGUGAAAGACAGCAGAACAGGACAGCAGAAAAGGGAUGGCCUGUGGGCACUGAAUGGUCUGGGUGCAGGGGGCAGGUGCCUGCAGGGGCUGCAAAGGGAAGUCCUCUGAGAACCGGCCCAAUGUCCGGGAGGAUGCAGGCUGGAUGGGGAAGGGGGACUGCAUGCGAACGGUCCACGAGGAGCUCCCGGAUUGGAGGCCAGAACAGAAGAAAACAUCAGGGAGUCUGGGAGGGUUAUCAGGGCCAGAAUUUUGAGGCCCUCGCAAGCCAGGCAGAGGGACAGUGCUGGGAAAACGGCGGUGAGAAAUGCAGAAAGCCGCGCAGCUGAUGAGAGGUGUUUAGGGGGAAAUGGGUCUGGGGGCGGCCCUUCGGGAGGCUGAGGCAAAGAACCCAGUUAGUAAACUCCUCCGAAAUCACAGCCGGGCAGGAGGCACAUGGUACUAGAGUCUCACGUCGUGUCCCCCGCCACCCCAGUCAGCACGACUGACAUCAGCAGCUCACUGGAGCACACUUGCCCCUGACUCCAGGUGCAACUCCAGAGGGUUUUUUAGGCCACUCUGGGCUCCUGGCAGCCCCUACCGAUCCAUCCAGGGUGAUGGGUCAAAUCUCCCCGCCUUGCGGGUUCGAUCAGUCAGGCGAUGUUAUGGGGAACUGACACGCAUCCUCAAAUUCCAGUGGCUUAAAGCGGUGAAGGUUCAUCGCUCAUUCAGGCUACCUGUCCAUCACAGUUGACCAGAGAUGGCUGUCAGCCAGCACCGUCCAGACAGACUGACAGGGCAGCCCCUUCACAGGGCACUGCUGGCCACCAAGGCAGGGGAGAGAGAGAGAUACAUCUUUGGAAGGUCUCUCACUAGCGUUUCAUAUGAAAGCCUGAAAAGGCAUAUCCCUCUGUAUGCCACUCAUUGGCCAGAACUGGUCACAGCAGGCAAGGCCGUGGAAUCUUAAUCUCCAAAAGGCAGAGAGUUAGAAAAAAUAAAAGAAAGGCCUGGAGUUCACAUUGUGGUUCAGCAGGUUAAAAACGCGACUGGUAUCCAUGAGGAUGCGGGUUUGAUCCCCGGCCUUGC
rnacentral:lncRNA from 1 species